AGACUCCCGCGAGCCCGAGGGACCCCGGCGCUGGCUUCAGCGAGCAGAGUGACGGGCGCGGGGGAGCGGGCGGCCGGUCCCCCUCGCCUCCGGGCAGCGCUGCGUUUCUAGGGCCCCCCGUCGCACUCUUCCCCCCUCGAGGGCUCCGGGGAGGCCCUGCCGCCGCCGUCCCGCCCUCGUCCCCGAUCGCGCACACUUAAGGGCCGCGAGGCGCCUGCUGCCCCGUCAGCCUUGCGGCCUCCGCCCCGCGGCUCAGCAGUCGGCUCCGCAGGCCCGGCGGACGUGGCCGCCCCACACCCCACACGGCUCACCUGGUUGCCGCAGGCCAGGGCCCGCUCGGGGGGCUUUGCGAGCUGGUGGUCCUGAGGGCGUGCAGCAGAGCUGGAGGAGAAGAGACAGAGACAGAGAGAGAGAGAGGCAGAGGCACAGGCAGAGGGAGAAGCAGGCACCAUACAGAGAGCCCAACGUGGGACUCGAUCCAGGGCCCCCAGGAUCACGCCCCGGGCCUAAACCGCUGCACCACCGGAGCUGCCCAAGAUAAUGGAGGAAAGUGACCUCUUGGUGAAAAGACACUGCCAUGUACACUCUGCUUGGAGGCCUGAAGGAAAAGAUGAGGCACCAUGAUGGAGCCAGCUCCAGCAGGUACCUGGCACACAUCUUCAGGCAUGCAGCCAACCAGCUGUUUAAUGAGGAUAUGAGGGAAGUCACCUGCCACAUCCCGAGGAACAAAGACUUGCAGGAGGUUAACUUUGAAAAGAAUGGGUAGGUUCUGUUAUGCUUUGCUGCUGUGUACUGCUUUCAAAACAUCCAGGAUGGUUCUGAAACUGAAGAAGGGCAAUUUGUCAUACCACUUGGUAGCAGUGCUUGCCUGGACCAGAGGAUGUUUAAAUGACGGAGGCCAAGCCCAGACCAAGGAUGGGCAUGCAGACAAGGUGCUGCCAUGGCAGAUGGAAGGCAUACACACUGAUAUCCCCAUGCAGCCCCCUAGACCAGUGCCCACAUACAGGAGCUAUACCAGGAGUGGAUAAACAAAACCAACUGCCCCAGACUCCAAGAAGUUGUGCACAAUGUACCAGGGCCCAGCGCUUCCUGCCAUCAGCUGAGACAUCAAGUGGUAAAGGUCAAGAAGGCUGGGAGGCAGGUCCUAUUAGCUGCCCGAAGAGAGAAGAGCAGCUGAGUGUGAGCAUCACAGACAGUGGAGGAAAACCGCUCAGCUUCUCAGUUAUUACUUUGGUUUUUCAGAAUUCUCCAUACCCUAUUUGUUCAUGGCUCCCUCAUUCAGUUUGAUAUGGUGCUAUCUUUGUAAUAAUACGUGACUGGAAUAAUUUAACAUAAGAGAAGCACUGCCCCAUGUUAAGUAUCCUUUUAGCUUAAGACUGAAAAACAUCCCGAAGAACAAAAAUGAAAACAGAUUACUAUCUUUUAGGCCUAAAAAAAAUCCAAAAAAUGUCCUGUGAAGAGCUAAGACCCCAGAAGUCCAGAUUCAUGUGCCUCAGAAAGAUUUGAUGUGGAAAUUAAGACAAGAUGCAACCAGGUUGCAGGUUUAGUGGUGCUACAGUCCACAGUCUGCCUGAUUAGGCUCUUAUUUUUAAUCAAUUAUGUUAUUGAAAAUAUUUUUGCUAGAAUAUGAAUAAAUUGCAACAUUUUGGAAUCAGGGGCUCAUAUACAAAUCUGGAUUUCCAGCUUUUCUGGCAACAGUGGGUCACGUUCUUCAGUGCUGUGGUUGCCAGAGUGCAGUAGUAGCCUCCUCCUAGGACCAGACCUCCAACUGUGUGACCCUGUGUGUGCUGGUGGCUUAAACCCCAAACUCACACUUUUACAAUUCAGCCUUUAAGCUGAACUCACCUUGAGGGCAGGGGAGGUCUGGCAAGAAUGGCAAGUGUUACAGACAGAAAGGAGGAUGGAGAUGGGCUGCCCCACUUAGGCCAGGCUGUGUGUUCAGGAGGCAACUACCUUAAUCCCUCCGCAGUGGGUUAAUAGCAGAAGACCCUCCUGAUCCUGCUGUGGUCCUGCCUCCCUGGGACCUGUGCUUCUUGAGGGACUCUCAUUCUGCAGCCUGCACUGUUCCUGUGAGCACAUCUUAAGAAGUAAGAGAGAAAGUGGUUUAUCCACAAACAAAGAGAAAGCAACCAGAAAUCUACAGAAUCAUGGCACUCUACAUCAGAACUCGUUUUUGAAAUGAAAGACAGCUGAGAAUGGCCUGGAGUUUAUUUUUCAAAGCACUUGGGUUUUGUUAACAUGAGUGAUGAUGUUCUUAAGCUCUCCAUGCUCUAAACCCUUAGCAGGCUCAGUUUCCUUCAUCGUAUUCUGUAUCAUAUUGUACCCGUAUACUUACCGAGUUGAUAGCUAGAUAUUGUGUGAAAUUGUAUAUUUUUAGGGCACUUGGCUGGCUCAGCUGGAUGAGCAUGAGACUCUUCAUCUUGGGGUCAUGAGUUCAAGCCCCACAUUGAGUGUAGAGACUACUUAAAUAAAAACUGUUUUAAAAAA
rnacentral:lncRNA from 1 species